rnacentral:sRNA from 1 species
UACCGGAGGGGGGUGUAGGACAUCCCAUCUCUCUGGCUACAAUGCUUAUUUGUAUGGCUUCCAAGGGGUGUUGAUGAUGAACCUCUGUUAGGAAUACAAUCCUGUCAGCCACACAGGAUUACUCAUGUGUCAAUGACUAUCUGGGAGGACGUAAAGAGGAGUAUCCUCCCACGUUGUGAAGGGUCAAAACUGAACCUGGAAUUUCACAGAAGAGCUGAGAAGAAAGUUAUCCAGACUAUGAUUUCCUAAGCCCAGAGGAGUGCUGGCCUGUUUUUCAGAAGCUCAUUUAAGUGUUUCUCAGAUUUACUGUAAGGACUGGGGAUGCUGGACAAGAUUUCACUGUUCAUGGACUGUCCUGGACUCAUUAUGUAUACAGAUUGUCUUGGUCUCAAUAAAAUCCCUCUACCUCUGCCUCUCUU